rnacentral:rRNA from 1 species
UCCUACGUGGAUAACUGUGGUAAUUCUAGAGCUAAUACAUGCACCAAAGCUCCGAUUUUCUGACGAGCGCAUCUAUUAGAUUAAAACCAAUCGGGNUUCGGCCCGUCAAUUGGUGACUCUGAAUAACUAUAGCUGAUCGCAUGGUCUCGAACCGGCGACGUGUCUAUCAAGUGUCUGCCUUAUCAACUGUCGAUGGUAGUUUAUGUGCCUACCAUGGUUGUAACGGGUAACGGAGAAUAAGGGUUCGACUCCGGAGAGGGAGCCUGAGAAACGGCUACCACAUCCAAGGAAGGCAGCAGGCGCGCAAAUUACCCACUCUCGGCAUGAGGAGGUAGUGACNAAAAAUAACGAGACCGUUCUCUAUGAGGCCGGUYAUCGGAAUGGGUACAAUUUACGCGAGAACNUGGCCUCCUGGNCUAGUUCUGCUNGNUUUCCCUACGUUGCCUUCAUCGGUCGCGUAGGGUGGCUAGCGAGUUUACUUUGAAAAAAUUAGAGUGCUUCACGCGGGCUUAUGUCUGAAUACUCGUGCAUGGAAUAAUAGAAUAGGAUCUCGGUUCUAUUUUGUUGGUUUUCUGAUCUGAGAUAAUNGUUAAGAGGGACGGACGGGGGCAUUCGUAUCGCUGCGUGAGAGGUGAAAUUCUUGGACCGUAGCGAGACGUCCGACUGCGAAAGCAUUUGCCAAGAAUGUCUUCAUUAAUCAAGAACGAAAGUCAGAGGUUCGAAGGCGAUCAGAUACNGCCCUAGUUCUGACCGUAAACGAUACCAACUAGCGUUCCGUCGGCGGUAAAUAUGCCNUGNCGGNCANGCUUCCCGGAAACGAAAGUCUUUCGGNUCUAAAUAGUCAUCGGAUAAACAAGUCCGGNAGACUNCUUAGAGGGACAAGCGGUAUUCAGCCGCAUGAAGUUGAGCAAUAACAGGUCUGUGAUGCCCUUAGAUGUCCAGGGCUGCACGCGCGCUACACUGGAGGAAUCAGCGUGCUGUAACCAUUGCCGAAAGGUAUUGGUAACCCCUUGAAAAUCCUCCGUGAUCGGGAUCGGGAAUUGCAAUUAUUUCCCUUGAACNNGGAAUUCCUAGUAAGUGUGAGUCAUCAGCUCACGUUGAUUACGUCCCNNCCC